rnacentral:tRNA from 1 species
AGUAGGAUAAGCUAACACUAAGCUGUUGGGCUCAUAACCCAAAAAUAGAUUACUUCUUCCUAUUA